rnacentral:rRNA from 1 species
UACGUAGGGUGCAAGCGUUGUCCGGAUUUAUUGGGCGUAAAGGGCGCGUAGGCGGUUUCUUAAGUUUGGAGUGACAGUGGGUGGCUUAACCACCCAAGGCCUCUGAAAACUGGGGAACUUGAGGACCAGAGAGGGACAUAGAAUUCCGGGUGGAGUGGUGAAAUGCGUAGAUAUCCGGAGGAAUACCAAAGGCGAAGGCAGUGUCCUGGAGGGUGACUGACGCUGAGGCGCGAAAGCUAGGGGAGCGAACAGG